GAGCAAUCGGCCCAAGGGAUACAUAUCAAGUUCUUUACAAAGUUGUCAGACGUGAGGUAAUACACAAUAAUCUAGAACGGUAGGUUUAAAGGACAAGUAUAAAUGUAUUCCUUUUGUUUUUACAUUAGUAUGGGAGAGUAUCUUUGCCAGCUUGACACAGUCAAGACAUGCUCCGAUCUGGAUCAUAUAUCAUGUGAGGAAAAUGUUCUUCAGUGGGUAAAGGCACAGAUAGACUGUAGCAAGACCUUCGAAAUCUGUGUGGCCAGAAACGGUAUGGUUGAAAGAGGUCUUAAACUCUGGAAGCGUCGAAAGAAUGGCGGUCCAGUGAACCGUUUGAAAGUCUCCUUCAUGGGAGAACCAGGGGGUUGACACUGGAGCACUAAAAAAAGAGUUCCUGUCCGGUGAGUAGUAUGCUUUCAUCGUUAAUUUACUAGAUAUGUAGAGUAUGUUGUAGAAUAGCUGAAAUUAAAUUGUUUACAGUUGCUAUACCAUUGUCAAACAACUGGAACAAAAGCUCUGCUCUUAGGUGUAUUUUUGCUGCAUCCAUCCAUUUCCCAAAAAAAGAACAUAACUGCCGGUGUGCUUCUGCAGGACACAGUAUCAAAGUGGUCAGAGCUUGAGAAAAAAUUGGCUAAAUUCAUGAUUUUUAAAUGUUUGCCCCAACAUAGUCUAAUGCUGUUUUAUCAUUUGUCUUUGGCUGUUGCAAAGAUUGCUGGGAUCGAGAAGCGACUAUUUGAAGGCGAAAGUGAGAAGGGCAAAGUACCAAAGUAUUCCCUCAACGAUUUGGACAAUGACACUGUUCAAAGUUGCGGGUGAAAUAUUUGGUGUGAGCAUUGCUCAAAGAGGACCAGCACCACGGUUUAUGCAGGAGUGGUGUUACCACUACCUCACCUGCCAUCCCCCCCACCUCCCUCAUCACGUGCCUGGAAGAAAUCCGGAGCUGGAUGAGCAGGAACUUCCUGAAACUCAAUAGAAACAAGACGAGGCCCUGGUCAUCGGCUCCAAAUCCACCCUCACCAAAUCACAACACAUCCCAGCUCCACUCAUAAUCAUCGAUGGAUUCCCAGUACCCUUCUCCAAAGUCAAGAGCCUCGGCGUCAUCCUGGACAACACCCUCUCAUUCGCACCCCACAUUCAUUACAUCACCCGGACUGCAUUCUCCCACCUCCGCAACAUCGCCAGACUCCGUCCAUCACUGACCCAAUCCAGCACUGAAAUCCUGGUUCACUCAUUUGUCACAUCACGCAUAGAAUACUGCAACGCCCUCCUCACCGGACUCCCCACCAAACUCAUCAACAGACUGCAGAUCAUUCAGAACUCAGCCGCCCGGAUCAUCUCCCGCACCAAAUCAUCCGACCACAUCACCCCUGUCCUCAUCCAACUUCACUGGCUCCCAGUACACUACCGCAUCCAAUACAAAACCCUACUCCUCACCUACAAAGCUCUCCACAACCUAGCCCCCAGUUAACUCUGCGACCUCCUCCAAGAAUACACUCCCUCCCGCUCCCUCCGCUCAACCUCUGCUGGACUACUAUGUAUCCCCACAUCACGACUCAUUACAAUGGGUGCCCGGUCAUUCAGCUGUUCAGCACCCAGGCUCUGGAACUCCCUCCCCCCACACAUAAAACAGUCAGACACCAUUACAACCUCCAAGUCACAACUCAAAACUAACCUGUUCACACUCGCACACAACGUCUAACUGAUCACUGUCUUGAUUGUUUGUUUGUUUUGUUUUGUUUUUGUUGUUUUUCCACAAUGUCUUGUUUUUAACGAUUUAUGAUGAUUUUAUGCUCUGUAAGGUGACCUUGGGUGCCAUGAAAGGCGCUGUCAUGCCAAAUUUGUACCGGCUGCCAAAUUUGUACCGGGCAAGUCAACAGUUGUCCGUUGCCUCUGAUUACGUAAGGGUUGUCCGUUGCCGGGCAGGUUUCAAAAAACAUUUGCGCUCAUGUUGUCAAAGACGAAAUAACAUAAUACAGAAAACGGAUCGCUAGAUAACACUUGUUUUUGCUUUAUAUUUGUAUUGUAUUUAAUUGUUUAAUCAAAUUUAGCAAGUAAACUGAGUGUUUAAAGCAGGUCAAGGACGAAAUAGCACAAUACAGAUAACGGACAAGUGCGAAUGAACGAGCUCGAAGGUUCGCGAAUGUUCGUGAACCUUUCACGUCUUUCGACGCGCGAUCAUCUGUUGCCAGGCAGGUUUUGAAUGGAUUACGUAUGCAUGACGCGCCCGGUACAAAUUUGGCAGCCGGUACAAAUUUGGCAUGACAGCGCCUCUAAAUUAAAUUUAUCAUUAUUAUUUACCUCGUCCCUGGGAACCUUAAAACUGAUGGUGUGACAGAGUUGUCACCAUUUAUCAAAACGGUACGUUUGGGUAAAUCGCUUCAAGCCAUCUUAAUGAGGCCAAUAUUUUUCCAUAAUGUUUGCUCUCUUUUGAUGUUUAUGGUACAUAGAAUCAGUGCAAAGUAAACUGAUCCAAGUUUAAAACUUUGACAGCGAUGUUGCAGCUGUUUUAGGCAGUAUCGCAAUAUAUUCUCAGGUUUACUAAAUUCCAAUUCAUCAAUAAGUUAGUUUCUUGCAAUAGCUUAUUUCCUGUUGACAUCAAGUAACUGCCUCGCUAAAAAAAGUAUCUGAUGUAGCUGUAAACCAAUAAUGGUAAAUGUGUGAGAGAUGUGUGAAUAUGUAUGAAAGUGUAGAUGUAUAAAAUAAUAG
ensembl:lncRNA